UAAAGAAAAAAUAGAGUAAAUGCAUGCUGGCCAUUAGCUCCCAAAUGAUCUACUUAUUUUCCAAGAAUGGCGCUAUAUUUGGGGAAUACUACGAUGGGUGACAAAGAUCAUGCCUGGAGGUAGCAAUCACUCCACCCACCAGGAGCUGUGGAUCCAACAGCAAAAAAGGCAGAGUCCCUACCAUCAAGGAGAUGCAGCCAGGGAAGUGGUGAAUGUGGUGGAGAAAGUAAAGAAGACACAGUAAAGUAAACAUGUAAUCAUCUAGUAUUGUGAUGUGUCAUUUUCGAUAAAUACAGAGGAUGCUUUCAGAGUACAAGAGAUGGUUACCCAAACAUGUCCCUUCUCUAUAAUCCUUAUUUCCAUUCAUGAAGGGAAAAACUUCUAGAUUGAAUUGAAUGCACUAAUGGUUUACCCAUUGCAUACACCUCAAGUCUCUGGCACAGCCUGUAGCAUUCAGAGGGAAGCAGGAUUGCCUGUCACUUCAUGGUUUACUGCCUGGUUGCACAUCCUGGCUUCAACAGUUACCAGGCAUGUUUCUCUAGACAAAGUACUUAACCACUCUGUUUCCUCCAGGGUAAAACAGAGCUAACAGUAGAUCCUCAUAAGAUUGUUAAAAUAAAUAAAUGACUAUGUAUAUAAAGCACUUAUAUUAGGGCUACAUAUGGAUUUGCUGUAUUACUAUCAUCAACCUUGCAGGAGAAAUGGACACUUUUGCUUUAUGGGGUUACAAAAUAUUAUUUGAACAAAUUUCAGUGGAUUAGAACAAGCUUUUCGCCCUUACCCUGUUUACCUGUAAAAGGCUUACUCAUCUUUCUAGACUUCCAUUAAUCAUUGGAAUUUAACGUAAGAAUAGAGACUCUAGAAUUAGAUUGACAUUGGUUUGAUUCUGAGAUUUAAUAUUCACUAGCUGCAUUGUCUAAGUAAAUUUACUUUUUCUGACUCUAUUUAUCUCUGUAGAUAAUAUUACCCAGCUCUUAUAGGAUUAUAUUAAAAAAC
rnacentral:lncRNA from 10 species